AACGAACGCUGGCGGCAGGCUUAACACAUGCAAGUCGAGCGCCCCGCAAGGGGAGCGGCAGACGGGUGAGUAACGCGUGGGAAUCUACCCAGCCCUACGGAAUAACCCAGGGAAACUUGGACUAAUACCGUAUACGUCCGAUAGGAGAAAGAUUUAUCGGGGUUGGAUGAGCCCGCGUUGGAUUAGCUAGUUGGUGGGGUAAUGGCCUACCAAGGCGACGAUCCAUAGCUGGUCUGAGAGGANGAUCAGCCACACUGGGACUGAGACACGGCCCAGACUCCUACGGGAGGCAGCAGUGGGGAAUAUUGGACAAUGGGCGCAAGCCUGAUCCAGCCAUGCCGCGUGAGUGAUGAAGGCCCUAGGGUUGUAAAGCUCUUUCAACGGUGAAGAUAAUG
rnacentral:rRNA from 1 species